rnacentral:rRNA from 1 species
UAGCUAGUUGGUAGGGUAAAGGCUUACCAAGGCGACGAUCGGUAGCUGGUCUGAGAGGACGAACAGCCACACUGGGACUGAGACACGGCCCAGACUCUUACGGGAGGCAGCAGUGGGGAAUAUUGGACAAUGGGGGGAACCCUGAUCCAGCAAUGCCGCGUGUGUGAAGAAGGCCUGAGGGUUGUAAAGCACUUUCGGUGGGGAGGAGGAUUUAUUGGUUAAGAGCUGAUGAAUUGGACGAUACCUACAGAAGAAGCACCGGCUAACUCCGUGCCAGCAGCCGCGGUAAUACGGAGGGUGCGAGCGUUAAUCGGAAUUACUGGGCGUAAAGGGUGCGUAGGUGGUUAAUUAAGUUAGGUGUAAAAGUCCUGGGCUUAACCUAGGGAUGAGAUUUAAUACUGAUUAACUGGAGUAUAGGAGAGGGUAGUGGAAUUUCCGGUGUAGCGGUGAAAUGCGUAGAGAUCGGAAGGAACACCAGUGGCGAAGGCGGCUACCUGGCCAGAUACUGACACUGAAGCACGAAAGCGUGGGGAGCAAACAGGAUUAGAUACCCUGGUAGUCCACGCUGUAAACGAUGUCAACUAGCCGUUAGACACAUUAAGGUGUAGAGUGGCGC